GUUGGUGGAUCCAAAAGUUUUCUCUUCUCCUUCUCGCCGUGGUGUCCCACUCGGUGUUGACUUCUAUAAUUUGGAAAGUAACAUUAUCAAAAGGAUGUUUCGUUGAACGAAGAUGUCUUGUGAGAGGACAAUUUUUGUUGGUUUUGUACGAUGAACGAUGGUUAUUGAGCCGAAUAUUAAAUUUGUCCAUUGUUUCUCCCACAUACUGAAUGCCACAAGUGUCACAUGUU
rnacentral:lncRNA from 1 species